AUACGGAAGGUCCGGGCGUUAUCCGGAUUUAUUGGGUUUAAAGGGAGCGUAGGCGGGAGCUUAAGUCAGCGGUUAAAUGGUGCGGCUCAACCGUGCCCUGCCGUUGAAACUGGGUUUCUUGAGAGUGCAAGAGGCGGAUGGAAUUCAUGGGGUAGCGGGGAAAUGCUUAGAUAUCAUGAAGAACUCCGAUUGCGAAGGCAGUCCGCUGGGGCACGUCUGACGCUGAUGCUCGAAGGUGCGGGAAUCAAACAGGAUUAGACACCCUGGUAGUCCGCACGGUAAACGAUGAUUACCCGCUGUCGGCGGUAGACAGUCGGCGGCCAAGCGAAAGCGAUAAGUAAUCCACCUGGGGAGUACGCCGGCAACGGUGAAACUCAAAUGAAUUGACGGGG
rnacentral:rRNA from 1 species